UGGCACCCGUGACUGAAGAUGAGUUUUGUGGGAGCCACGAUUCUCUAUCCCGAUCUCCUCAUCUAGAAGAUGGUGCCACAUGUGUACAGGCAGGGAUAGAGACCACGGUCACAUGAAGGGUGCAUUGUCUUCAAGGGCCCAAAUGCACAUCAUGAAAUCAGCAGGGAAGGCGAGUGGUUUCUUGGAAGGCAGGAGUUUGCCAUGGACAGAGGUGGCCCCGAUCCUGGAGCAGAGUCAGCCCGGUGCCCGUGUCUGAAGGGAUUUGGCCCUCUGUCCUGUGAAGCAAAGCUACCUUACAUUAACCGAGAUUAUGGUGACUCUGAAAUGUCUCCGACCCGAUCUCUGCCAAUGCAGAGGCCUCUGCCAGGAGGAUCACAGUCAUGGCUUUAGAGGACUAAAUGCGCUUCCUCAAAGCCGGGAGGCAACAUGGUUUCUGCUGUACCUCCUUCACCUGGUCCUGGAUUUUCUCCUGUUCCGACGUCCUGGCCCCCCCUCCACCGCCUGGUCCCGAUAUUCCUCCUCCACCUGGGCCUAGCCCACUUCCUCUGCCGGGCGUUGCCCUCCACUUGUGCUUGGUCUUGGCCCUCCUCCUUGGCAUGGUCCUGACCUUCAUCCUCCUCCUGCUCCUUGUCGUCUUCCUUUACCUGCUCCUGCCCAUCCUCCUACAACUUGUCCGGGGCCAGCUCCAUGGCCUUUCUCCUCCACCUACUCCUGGUUCUUUCCCUCCCCCUGGUCUAGACCCUUCACAUCUGAUUGGUCCUGGCCCUUGUCCUCCACAUCAUCCUGCGCACCUUCUUUUGCCUGGUCCCACCCUUCCGCCUCCAGCUGUUACUGACCUUCCACUCCUGCCUGGCCCUAGAACUCCUCCUCUGCUUUUUCCUAGCCAUCUUCCCUCCGGCUGGUCUUGGCUUUCUUCCUUCACUUGCUCCUCUGCCUGUUCCUGGCCCUCCUCCUCGGCCAGGAAGACCUUGCCUUCCUCCAUCACCUGGUCCAGACCCUCCCCCUCUGCCUGGUCCUGGAUCUCCACCUUGACCCGGUCCUUGCCUUCCUUCUCUUCCUCCGGGGCCUGGCCCUCCUCCUCUGCCUGGUACUGGACCCUCCGCCUGCUCCACCUGGACCCGAUCUUCCUCCUCCACGUGGUGCUGGCCCUCCUCCUCUGC